AAGAAUGUUUUUGAAGACAAAUUCGUACCCUCGGUAAAGCGGUAGGACAACAAAAAAAUAACAAAAGGGAACAUGCAAGAACGCACGCGGUUUUUUCUCGACUUCUUUUAUUUCAUCACUUGCGUUUUGAAGCCGGUGAAAAUUGUGCGUUUAUCUGUGCCCUCUGCCAACAAUUGUGAAAAAGUGAAACUUAAGUGCCUAAAACCGUUUAUUUUACCACUUCUUCAAACUAAGGAGAACUAAACGCACUGACGGCAUUCUCCAAAGGAAAGAAUCGCAUUUACUCGGUCUCCUGCCUUGCAAGGAAACACCGACAGGAACGACG